GACGAACGCUGGCGGCGUGCUUAACACAUGCAAGUCGAACGGAAAGGCCCUGCUUUUGUGGGGUGCUCGAGUGGCGAACGGGUGGGUAACACGUGAGUAACCUGCCCUUGACUUUGGGAUAACUUCAGGAAACUGGGGCUAAUACCGGAUAGGAGCUCCUGCUGCAUGGUGGGGGUUGGAAAGUUUCGGCGGUUGGGGAUGGACUCGCGGCUUAUCAGCUUGUUGGUGGGGUAGUGGCUUACCAAGGCUUUGACGGGUAGCCGGCCUGAGAGGGUGACCGGCCACAUUGGGACUGAGAUACGGCCCAGACUCCUACGGGAGGCAGCAGUGGGGAAUAUUGCACAAUGGGCGGAAGCCUGAUGCAGCAACGCCGCGUGCGGGAUGACGGCCUUCGGGUUGUAAACCGCUUUCGCCUGUGACGAAGCGUGAGUGACGGUAAUGGGUAAAGAAGCACCGGCUAACUAUGUG
rnacentral:rRNA from 1 species